rnacentral:rRNA from 1 species
AGAGCGAACGCUGGCGGCAGGCCUAACACAUGCAAGUCGAGCGCCCCGCAAGGGGGAGCGGCAGACGGGAGAGUAACACGUGGGAACGUACCCUUCAGUUCGGAACAACCCAGGGAAACUUGGGCUAAUACCGAAUACGUCCGUAAGGAGAAAGAUUUAUCGCUGAAGGAUCGGCCCGCGUCUGAUUAGCUAGUUGGUGGGGUAAUGGCCCACCAAGGCGACGAUCAGUAGCUGGUCUGAGAGGAUGAUCAGCCUCAUUGGGACUGAGACACGGCCCAAACUCCUACGGGAGGCAGCAGUGGGGAAUAUUGGACAAUGGGCGCAAGCCUGAUCCAGCCAUGCCGCGUGGAUGAUGAAGGCCUUAGGGUUGUAAAGUCCUUUCGGCGGGGAAGAUAAUGACGGUACCGCAGAAGAGCCCGGCUAACUUCGUGCCAGCAGCCGC